rnacentral:rRNA from 1 species
UCGGGCUUCAUGCAGUCGAGCGGAAGAAGGGAGCUUGCUCCCGGAUGUUAGCGGCGGACGGGUGAGUAACACGUGGGUAACCUGCCUGUAAGACUGGGAUAACUCCGGGAAACCGGAGCUAAUACCGGAUAGUUCCUUGAACCGCAUGGUUCAAGGAUGAAAGACGGUUUCGGCUGUCACUUACAGAUGGACCCGCGGCGCAUUAGCUAGUUGGUGGGGUAAUGGCUCACCAAGGCGACGAUGCGUAGCCGACCUGAGAGGGUGAUCGGCCACACUGGGACUGAGACACGGCCCAGACUCCUACGGGAGGCAGCAGUAGGGAAUCUUCCGCAAUGGACGAAAGUCUGACGGAGCAACGCCGCGUGAGUGAUGAAGGUUUUCGGAUCGUAAAGCUCUGUUGUUAGGGAAGAACAAGUGCGAGAGUAACUGCUCGCACCUUGACGGUACCUAACCAGAAAGCCACGGCUAACUACGUGCCAGCAGCCGCGGUAAUACGUAGGUGGCAAGCGUUGUCCGGAAUUAUUGGGCGUAAAGGGCUCGCAGGCGGUUUCUUAAGUCUGAUGUGAAAGCCCCCGGCUCAACCGGGGAGGGUCAUUGGAAACUGGGAAACUUGAGUGCAGAAGAGGAGAGUGGAAUUCCACGUGUAGCGGUGAAAUGCGUAGAGAUGUGGAGGAACACCAGUGGCGAAGGCGACUCUCUGGUCUGUAACUGACGCUGAGGAGCGAAAGCGUGGGGAGCGAACAGGAUUAGAUACCCUGGUAGUCCACGCCGUAAACGAUGAGUGCUAAGUGUUAGGGGGUUUCCGCCCCUUAGUGCUGCAGCUAACGCAUUAAGCACUCCGCCUGGGGAGUACGGUCGCAAGACUGAAACUCAAAGGAAUUGACGGGGGCCCGCACAAGCGGUGGAGCAUGUGGG